GAUGAACGCUGGCGGCGUGCCUAAUACAUGCAAGUCGAGCGAACAGACGAGGAGCUUGCUCCUCUGACGUUAGCGGUGGACGGGUGAGUAACACGUGGAUAACCUACCUAUAAGACUGGGAUAACUUCGGGAAACCGGAGCUAAUACCGGAUAAUAUAUUGAACCGCAUGGUUCAAUAGUGAAAGACGGUUUUGCUGUCACUUAUAGAUGGAUCCGCGCCGCAUUAGCUAGUUGGUAAGGUAACGGCUUACCAAGGCAACGAUGCGUAGCCGACCUGAGAGGGUGAUCGGCCACACUGGAACUGAGACACGGUCCAGACUCCUACGGGAGGCAGCAGUAGGGAAUCUUCCGCAAUGGGCGAAAGCCUGACGGAGCAACGCCGCGUGAGUGAUGAAGGUCUUCGGAUCGUAAAACUCUGUUAUUGGGGAAGAACAAAUGUGUAAGUAACUAUGCACGUCUUGACGGUACCUAAUCAGAAAGCCACGGCUAACUACGUG
rnacentral:rRNA from 1 species